UACGGAGGGUGCAAGCGUUAUCCGGAAUCACUGGGCGUAAAGGGCGUGUAGGCGGUCUGCUAAGUCCGAUGUUAAAGAGUGGGGCUCAACCCCAUCACGGCGUUGGAUACUGGCGGGCUUGACGGCUGGAGAGGCAAGUGGAAUUACCAGUGUAGCGGUGGAAUGCGUAGAUACUGGUAGGAACACCCAUUGCGAAGGCAGCUUGCUGGACAGCACGUGACGCUGAGGCGCGAAAGUGUGGGGAGCAAACCGG
rnacentral:misc_RNA from 1 species